rnacentral:rRNA from 1 species
AUUGAACGCUGGCGGCAGGCCUAACACAUGCAGGUCGAGCGGAUGAGAGGAGCUUGCUUCUCGAUUCAGCGGCGGACGGGUGAGUAAUGCCUAGGAAUCUGCCUGGUAGUGGGGGACAACGUUUCGAAAGGAACGCUAAUACCGCAUACGUCCUACGGGAGAAAGCAGGGGACCUUCGGGCCUUGCGCUAUCAGAUGAGCCUAGGUCGGAUUAGCUAGUUGGUGAGGUAAUGGCUCACCAAGGCGACGAUCCGUAACUGGUCUGAGAGGAUGAUCAGUCACACUGGAACUGCGACACGGUCCAGACGCCGACGGGAGGCAGCAGUGGGGAAUAUUGGACAAUGGGCGAAAGCCUGAUCCAGCCAUGACGCGUGUAUGAAGAAGGUAUUCGGAUUGUAAAGCACUUUAAGUUGGGAGGAAGGGUUGUAGAUUAAUACUCUGCAAUUUUGACGUUACCGACAGAAUAAGCACCGGCUAACUCUGUGCCAGCAGCCGCGGUAA